CCCUUAGAUGUCCUGGGCUGCACGCGCGCUACACUGAUGUGUCCAGUAAGCACCUAACCUAUUCCGAGAGGAGCGGGUAACCUUAGCAAAGCACAUCGUGAUGGGGAUAGAUUAUUGCAAUUAUUAGUCUUGAACGAGGAAUUCCUAGUAAGCACAAGUCAUCAGCUUGUGUUGAUUACGUCCCUGCCCUUUGUACACACCGCCCGUCGUUCCUACCGAUUGAAUGUUCCGGUGAGCUCUUCGGACUGCGCGGUCUGCAGUUUCUGCGUUCCGUGCGGAAAGUUGUGCAAACCUUAACAUUUAGAGGAAGGAGAAGUCGUAACA
rnacentral:rRNA from 1 species